UACGUAGGUGGCAAGCGUUGUCCGGAAUUAUUGGGCGUAAAGAGCGUGUAGGCGGUCCGGUAAGUCGGUUGUGAAAGUCCAGGGCUCAACCCUGGGAUGCCGACUGAUACUGUCGGACUAGAGUUCGGAAGAGGCGAGUGGAAUUCCCGGUGUAGCGGUGAAAUGCGCAGAUAUCGGGAGGAACACCUAUGGCGAAGGCAGCUCGCUGGGACGUUACUGACGCUGAGACGCGAAAGCGUGGGGAGCAAAC
rnacentral:rRNA from 1 species